rnacentral:rRNA from 1 species
GACGAACGCUGGCGGCGUGCUUAACACAUGCAAGUCACGGGGUCCGCAGGAGUAACGCGAACGGUGCGUAACACGUGAACAACCUGCCCUCGUGUGGGGGAGUAGCCAUGCUAACGCGUGGGUAAUACCGCAUACGUUCUUCUGGGGGAGGUCCCCGGGACGAGGAAAGCUCCGGCGCACGGGGAGGGUUCGCGGGCCUAUCAGCUAGUUGGUGCGGUAACGGCGCACCAAGGCGACGACGGGUAGCUGGUCNGGAGAGGAUGGCCAGCCACAUUGGGACUGG